rnacentral:rRNA from 1 species
AGAGUUUGAUCCUGGCUCAGGAUGAACGCUGGCGGCGUGCUUAACACAUGCAAGUCGAACGGGGAUUAUACGCUGAUGCGAUUUCGGUCAAAUCUUGUGUAAUCCUAGUGGCGGACGGGUGAGUAACGCGUGGGUAACCUGCCUUACACCGGGGGAUAACACUUAGAAAUAGGUGCUAAUACCGCAUAAGCGCACGAAACCGCAUGGUUUUGUGUGAAAAACUCCGGUGGUGUAAGAUGGACCCGCGUCUGAUUAGCUUGUUGGCGGGGUAACGGCCCACCAAGGCGACGAUCAGUAGCCGGCCUGAGAGGGUGGACGGCCACAUUGGGACUGAGGACACGGCCCAAACUCCUACGGGAGGCAGCAGUGGGGGAUAUUGGACAAUGGGGGGAACCCUGAUCCAGCGACGCCGCGUGAGUGAAGAAGUAUUUCGGUAUGUAAAGCUCUGUUAGCAGGGAAGAAGAAAGUGACGGUACCUGACCAAGAAGCCCCGGCUAACUACGUG